UACCAGCUCUCCGAGUGGUAGGGAUGUUUAUUGGGCUUAAAGCGUCCGUAGCCGGCUUAGCAAGUCUCCUGUUAAAUUCAGCGACCUAAUCGUUGAGCCGCGGGAGAUACUAUUAGGCUAGGAGGCGGGAGAGGUCAACGGUACUUCCGGGGUAGGGGUGAAAUCCUAUAAUCCCGGGAGGACCACCAGUGGCGAAGGCUGUUGACUAGAACGCGCUCGACGGUGAGGGACGAAAGCUGGGGGAGCGAACCGGAUUAGAUACCCGGGUAGUCCCAGCUGUAAACGAUGCGAGCUAGGUGUUGGGGUGGCUACGUGCCACUUCAGUGCCGCAGGGAAGCCAUUAAGCUCGCCGCCUGGGGAGUACGGCCGCAAGGCUGAAACUUAAAGGAAUUGGCGGGGGAGCACCACAAGGCGUGAAGCUUGCGGUUC
rnacentral:rRNA from 1 species